GUGGGGAAUUUUGCGCAAUGGGGGAAACCCUGACGCAGCAACGCCGCAUGAGUGAUGAAGGCCUUCGGGUCGUAAAGCUCUGUCAGAGGGGAAGAAAUGCAGGGGUGCUAAUAUCAUCUUUGCUUGACGGUACCCUCAAAGGAAGCACCGGCUAACUCCGUGCCAGCAGCCGCGGUAAUACGGAGGGUGCGAGCGUUGUUCGGAAUUAUUGGGCGUAAAGCGCGUGUAGGCGGUUUGAUAAGUCUGAUGUGAAAGCCCCGGGCUCAACCUGGGAAGUGCAUUGGAAACUGUCAGACUUGAAUACGGGAGAGGGUAGUGGAAUUCCUAGUGUAGGAGUGAAAUCCGUAGAUAUUAGGAGGAACACCGGUGGCGAAGGCGGCUACCUGGACCGAUAUUGACGCUGAGACGCGAAAGCGUGGGGAGCAAACAG
rnacentral:rRNA from 1 species